UACAGAGGUGGCAAGCGUUGUUCGGAAUUACUGGGCGUAAAGGGCGCGUAGGCGGUCUUCUAAGUCUUGUGUGAAAUCCCUCGGCUCAACUGAGGAACUGCACGGGAUACUGGAAGACUUGAGUUCGGGAGAGGGAAGCGGAAUUCCGGGUGUAGCGGUGAAAUGCGCAGAUAUCAGGAAGAACACCCGUGGCGAAAGCGGCUCUCUGGAACGGUACUGACGCUGAGACGCGAAAGCGUGGGGAGCGAACGGG
rnacentral:rRNA from 1 species